UGCAGUCGAACGAUGACUUUUGUGCUUGCACAGAAUGAUUAGUGGCGAACGGGUGAGUAACACGUGAGUAACCUGCCCCUGACUCUGGGAUAAGCCUGGGAAACUGGGUCUAAUACUGGAUAUGCACCGUAGACCGCAUGGUUUUUGGUGGAAAGAAUUUUGGUCAGGGAUGGACUCGCGGCCUAUCAGCUUGUUGGUGAGGUAAUGGCUCACCAAGGCGACGACGGGUAGCCGGCCUGAGAGGGUGACCGGCCACACUGGGACUGAGACACGGCCCAGACUCCUACGGGAGGCAGCAGUGGGGAAUAUUGCACAAUGGGCGAAAGCCUGAUGCAGCGACGCCGCGUGAGGGAUGACGGCCUUCGGGUUGUAAACCUCUUUCAGUAGGGAAGAAGCGAAAGUGACGGUACCUGCAGAAGAAGCGCCGGCUAACUACGUGCCAG
rnacentral:rRNA from 1 species